UGAACCAUGGAGUAAUGGGAAACUCAACUGUUUUUGGUACAGUGGAUAUUUGUUCGAUUCAAAUUGGUUCAG
rnacentral:tRNA from 2 species